rnacentral:rRNA from 1 species
GUCUACAGCCAUGCCACCCUGAACAAGCCAGAUCCCAUCUGAUCUCGGAAGCUAAGCAGGGUUGGGCCUGGUUUGUACUUGAAUGGGAGACCACCUAGGAAGACUAGGUGCUGUAGGCA